CCAAUAAACAAAUUUUUAUUACCAAAGUGAAUGUUGGAGAACAAACACGUGAAACUAAUCACUGGACAGUGAGGCCAGUGCUUCAGCAUCUACUCAACUUACCUAUCCUCAUAGCAACAAAGUUUAACAGAGCUCACUUAGUACAAUUACAAAGUACCUUCAUUGUUUUCUAAGUAGGAUAAAAACUACGAGCCUCUAGCCAUCGAGCUACCUUAGAAUGGGAUCGACCUCUUCCAUGAACCUCCUGGAUGAUCACCCGUGUAAUCUGAUCCACUGAUUUUUGUUGGUGUUGAAAAAUCCUCAGAUUUCUUUCCUUCCACAACUGGUAGACAGUAGCAGCAAGUACCAACAUGUAAGCUUCAGCUUGGCUACUUUUAUCAUUGGCAUAUGCAAUAGCCCAUGAUAUUUCAGUUCUCCAUUCUGCAGUAAGAUCGAGAGUAUCCAAAAGGAUUGAGAGUUGUAGAGCAAGGAACUGAAGUAGUAGUAUCCGCGAUUGUUGUCACAUUGAGCCGACUGCCAGUGGAGGUUGUGAAAUAACAGCUGGCUUUGGGGCAGGCUCGUUACUUAGAGUCUUUUCCACAUUGCAAGUAGUCUGAGAAUUGUUAGCAGGCUCUCCACUUCCAAAUAGUUAGUAAGAAUUAAGCAGACAUCAACUCUGUCAUGCCUAGUUUUGUAUCGAUGCAACUCUUUCAUGCCGAGUUUGCUUGCUGCAACCUACUAAUACCCACGUAAUCCAUGAGUAACAGAUAAGUAGUCUUUCACUGCCGCAGUUUUUCAUCUUCUUUCAUUAGCUUCAUCCAUUUUUCUUUGUUUGUGUUGGGAAAUCUUACUUUUUAAAAGAACUUCAGUAUUUGUUUAAAGCGUGGAGCAACUUCCAUGGUGCCUUCUAAAAGCUAAUAUGUCUCCACCCUUUCAUUUUAUGCUAAUAAGUUGUGCUAAAUUAUGUCUGUUCCUCUGAAAAUCAGUAGGCUCGUCUGAUUACAUGUCAAAUGUUAAGUAACCAUUUGUUUUUUGGUCCAGUUUAUCUCGAUUAGUUAUAGUAUUGAGUGCUUUUUCUGAUAAGGGGCUUAGUUGUCUUGUCCGAGAACAUUAGCAGUGGCUACUUAAAUGAGUUAUAAGCUAAUAACUUAGAAGGUUCUGAGGGUGCCAUAGGACAUUUUGGGGUAUGGAUUGCUGAGAUAAUCUACUUCCAUUAUUAGUAUGCACACUGACUCUCUUAACAAAUGAAAAACUAUGUAUGAUUUAAUGAUACAUCAAGAUUUAGAUAUAUCUGUAUGAUUACUGUGAUCAAUCUCCGCCGAGUGCUUAAAUUAUUUUAUCUGUCCUGGUAUCUAGUGCUAAAAUAGGUACAAGACUGCAUUAUUUGUGUCCUCAGCUUUUUCAAGCUCUUGGUCUUCCUCCUUCUGUUGGGGUACUUUGUGAUUAUUGUCAUUUGAGGCUAUGUUGCUCGGACUACUAAAAAAUUUCAUUGGUGCAUGCCGAAUCCUUCAAAAUUAGUGUAUUUUGGGAGGAUUCGACAGGGUGUGAUCAUUUAUUCAAUAUUUCUUGCAAGAAAUAAAUAUUUUAGUGGUUCCAUCGUUACUUCUCUUCUACUAUUUUGACUAGCUCUUUUUUUCUUUUCAGACUAACCUUCUGCAUUGAUUCAAUUUGGAUGGAGUGUAAUGAAAGCUUCUCCAACAGGGGAAAAAAGCAUUGAAGUUGAUCUGAGAUAUUAAUCAUUCAAAAUUGUGUACUAAGCAUGUUUUCCUCCCAGAUUACCUAAUAGAGGAGAAGAGCUUAGCUCUCUAUCUUUAGCCUUAGCUUCUUGAUGUAUGAAUAGUUUUUUUGUUUGAUCACUAAACUUGGAAUUAUGCGUAGGUUUCAGUUUUAGUUUUAAGUCUUGUGUGUGUAACCUAUUGAUAAAUAAUACAUGUUUAGUUACAAAAAAAAUCUAUUACAAAUCUA